rnacentral:rRNA from 1 species
UACGGAGGGAGCUAGCGUUGUUCGGAAUUACUGGGCGUAAAGCGCACGUAGGCGGCUUUUUAAGUCAGAGGUGAAAUCCUGGAGCUCAACUCCAGAACUGCCUUUGAUACUGAGAGGCUUGAGUCCGGGAGAGGUGAGUGGAACUGCGAGUGUAGAGGUGAAAUUCGUAGAUAUUCGCAAGAACACCAGUGGCGAAGGCGGCUCACUGGCCCGGUACUGACGCUGAGGUGCGAAAGCGUGGGGAGCAAACAGG